rnacentral:rRNA from 1 species
AAGUCGAGCGAGAACUUCGGUUCUAGCGGCAAACGGCGCAGUAAUACGUAAGCAACGUGCCCCCAAGACUGGGACAGUCCGGGGAAACCCGGUUGAAUACCAGAUGUGGCCGCUCUUCUGCCUGGAAGAGCGAUUAAAGGACUUCGGUCGCUUAGGGAGCGGCUUACGACCUAUCAGGUAGUUGGUGAGGUAACGGCUCACCAAGCCUACGACGGGUAGCGGGUCUGAGAGGAUGAUCCGCGCGAGUGGGACUGAGACACGGCCCACACACCUACGGGUGGCAGCAGUUUGGAAUAUUGCACAAUGGGGGAAACCCUGAUGCAGCGACGCCGCGUGGGGGAUGACGGAUUUCGGUCUGUAAACCCCUUUUGCCAGGAAAGACUUAGGACGGUACCUGGCGAAUAAGCCCCGGCUAACUACGUGCCAGCAGCCGCGGUAAUACGUAGGGGGCAAGCGUUGUCCGGAUUUACUGGGCGUAAAGGGCGCGCAGGCGGCCUGUUAAGUGUGAAGUGAAAUCUCCUGGCUCAACCAGGAAAUUGCUUUGCAUACUGGCAGGCUAGAGAAAGGCAGAGGUAGAUGGAAUUCCCGGUGUAGCGGUGACAUGCGUUGAUAUCGGGAGGAACGCCAAUGGCGAAGGCAGUCUACUGGGCCUCUUCUGACGCUCAGGCGCGAAAGCGUGGGUAGCAAACAGGAUUAGAUACCCUGGUAGUCCACGCCCUAAACGAUGGAUACUAGGCGUUAGGGGUAUCGACCCCCUUAGUGCCGCAGCAAACGCGAUAAGUAUCCCGCCUGGGGACUACGGGCGCAAGGCUGAAACUCAAAUGAAUUGACGGGGACCCGCACGAGCGCUGGAACAGGUGGAUUAAUUCGAUACUAACCGAAGAGCCUCACCCAGACUUGACCUCGAGGGGCCGGCGAUGAACAGGCGCCAAAGUUUUCUUAAACCCCNAAGAAGGGACACAAGAAACCGGGCAGUCGGUCAGCUCCAGCCGCGCCAGGAAGUGGUCACGUCCACCAACGCGAGCAACCCUCGUUCUCUCUUGACAACAGGGCAACCUGAGUACUGCAUAGGACACCGCCGGCGCAAGCCGGAGGAGGAUGAACACGACAUCAAGAUCAGCAUGACGGUACAGUCGGGGGCUUCACACAUGCUACAAUGGAUGCAACAAAGGGGAGCGAGACCGUGAGGUUUAGCGAAUCCCAAAAAUACAUCCUCAGUUCGGA